CUGUCUCAGACUAGCCAUGCACGUCUAGUACAAACUAAAUUGAUGGUGAAACUUGCAAAUAGGCUCAUUACAACGGUUAUGAUGUACCCGGGAGUUCCGAUGGAUAUUUCCAGUAACACUAGAACUAAUACAUGUCCCUGCGUUUAUUAGUUUCGCACAGUCCGUCGCUGAGUCAUGGUAAACAGUUGAUCGACUCGACGUCCCGGAACAGUUUCCGCCCCAUCAGCUUCGAUGGUUGGGUAUUGGCCUACCAUUGCAACAACGGGUAACGAGGAAUUAGGGUUUGAUUUCGGAGAGGGAGCCUGAGAAACGGCUACCACAUCUACGGAUGGCAGCAGGCGCGCAAAUUACCCAAUGCAGACACUGUGAGGUAGUGACGAGAAAUAAUAAAGCGGGACUUCUGUUUCGCUAUUAUAAUGAGGAAUAACCAAAGGUCAUUCCGAUUAGCAACCGAUGGGAAAGUCUGGUGCCAGCAGCCGCGGUAAUACCAGCGUCAGUAG
rnacentral:rRNA from 1 species